GGAAGGGUGGCCGAGCGGUUGAUGGCGCCGGUCUUGAAAACCGGUAGGGUGUAACAGCCCUCGUGGGUUCGAAUCCCACCCCUUCCG
rnacentral:tRNA from 1 species